GAUGAACGCUGGCGGCGUGCCUAAUACAUGCCAGUCGAGCGAACAGACGAGGAGCUUGCUCCUCUGACGUUAGCGGCGGACGGGUGAGUAACACGUGGAUAACCUACCUAUAAGACUGGGAUAACUUCGGGAAACCGGAGCUAAUACCGGAUAAUAUAUUGAACCGCAUGGUUCAAUAGUGAAAGACGGUUUUGCUGUCACUUAUAGAUGGAUCCGCGCCGCAUUAGCUAGUUGGUAAGGUAACGGCUUACCAAGGCGACGAUGCGUAGCCGACCUGAGAGGGUGAUCGGCCACCCUGGAACUGAGCCACGGUCCAGACUCCUACGGGAGGCAGCAGUAGGGAAUCUUCCGCAAUGGGCGAAAGCCUGACGGAGCAACGCCGCGUGAGUGAUGAAGGUCUUCGGAUCGUAAAACUCUGUUAUUAGGGAAGAACAAAUGUGUAAGUAACUAUGCACGUCUUGACGGUACCUAAUCAGAAAGCCACGGCUAACUACGUG
rnacentral:rRNA from 1 species